UUGCAGGUUAGGGUAAGAAAGCACAGCUCUGAGUCUCUCCUGGGUUGGCCAAAGCCUUCGGGGAGUGGGUUGGGCAUUCAAGGUAUUGAGAGUCCCAGGUCCUGUAGGCAUCCCAAAUCCUGUCCGGUCCACACCUUGCCCCACCCUGCUCCGCCUCAUCUCCUUCCUGGUACAGCCGGUUGGUACCCGUUCGCUUCUCAUCAGCCGCACCCCUCUCGUCUGACUCCAGGCAAUUGGCUCACCAGCCCCUUGAGGGGCUCCCCAGGACUCAAGCCCCCGUGCAUCCCCAUAUUGCAGUGCCCGCCGCUGCCAACCGGGAGCAGUAGAGACCAAGAAGAGGCCAGCGCUCCCCGCCCGUGCCUUGAUGUGUGUGGGGGAUCUGAAAGGAUCGUGAGCAUCGCAGAGGGGACUGAAGGGCGAGCCAGGACUCCCGUGUUCCCGGAGCUCCGGAGAUCCCCGCUGCAAAGGCAGGGGUUGCUAUUUUGGGGGCAACAGCUGCUGUAGUUCCGGCAUCUCCAGCCAAGAGAUCAAAAUUCCCCGGGUCGGAACUACCCCUCCGGGCGUUCACCCAUCACCCAGCCAGCCUUGGUCGCCUGGAUCUGGGGAUAGUGGCGUUGUGGAGAUUAAUCAGGAAACCCGAGUGGGGCUAAUUAUAACUCGGGGCUUCCGCUGAGCCUCCCUUUAGAAAAAAAAAAAAAAAGAAGAAGAAGAAAGAAAGAAAACAGAGACGGAAUCUCCGCAGGAGGGGGUCCUGGAGCUGGCAAGGGGCUCAGCUGGGCAGGGACGUUAGGGUCGCGGCCCUGGGGAUGGGGGGUGGUGCAGUCGGGAUGUCAGUAACCUGCGCAGUUUGGGCUCCGCCCCAAACAGGGGGCGUCUUCCAAUGUCCCCAGACUUGGAGGAGAGUGGGGAAUGGGCCUUCAGGGGGUCCCUGCAGGAAGAGAACGCAGAGGCAGCGGGCGGCCCAGAGAGCAUCAUCAGAGCCACCCAGGGCACCCCCCACCACUUGGUGUCUCCAGGACGGUGACAGUUGCUCCUGCCGCAAUGUGCAGGCUGCCUCAAGAUCCUGCCUCGACUUCUCCAUGGUGAUGGGCGAUGACAUAAACUACUUUCUCUCUUUGCGCCAGGCCAUUUUAUCACAGAAACAGAAAUGAAACUACACCUCGCUGGCCUCAAACUGUAGCAAUCAUCUAUCAUCCCAGCACUUGGAAGGCUGAAGUGGGAGAACUGUGAGUGUGAGACCACCUUGAGCUACACAGAGAGACCCUGUCUCAAAGGAAAAAACAAACAAACAAAAUCCAAGACAACAAGUUUUCUAUGGCAGUGGGGGCUGUACCUCUCCACACAAGCAUGAGGGCUGGAGUUUGGAUCCCCAGAACACUUGCAGAUGCAACCUGUAACUCCAGUCUUGGAAGGCAGAGUAUCUACCGAGGCCAGAAGGGGGCACUGGAUUCCCUAAAGCUGGGGCUCUGGGAACUGAACCCGAGACCUCUGCAAACGCAGCAAGCGCUCUGCUCCACAGACCCAUCCCUCCAGCUCCGGGACAGACGUUACUCACCAGAACCCGUUGAGAUGGGGAAGAAGAGUCCGCGUGUUUGUGCUUGGGUGCUGUAAUGGCGCUCACUUCCCGAAGCUAGGCUCCUCCUCCUCCGCAGGGAUGGAAAGCAGGGACCUCGUCCUCACAUGAUGCCUGGAGCGCGAGGCAGAGUCCUACAUUAGCCUUGACCACUGCUAGGGAAGCAGACUCUUGAGGUAUGUUAGGGCAGGGGAGCUGGUUCCGUGGGUAAAAACGGCACUUGCUGCCAAACCUGACAACCUGAGUUCCACCCUUGGGACCACGUGUGGAAGGUGAGGGCUGGCUUCCUCACACAUGCGUCACAUGCGUGUGCAUUGUCUCCGAAGUUUCUGGAUCAGUGGUGAGGUGGGGCAUCUCGGAGGGAAAAGGUAGAGGAAGCUGCUGCUUACUUCCUGGCUAGGCGGGAAGAGGAGGAGGCUGGGGUUGCCUUUGUGGACAUGCGCCCACUAAGACUCAACCUGUGCAUUAGUCACCUCUGCAUCCCCGUGACAAAAAUACCUGACGUAAGCCUUCACCCCCAGAUGACAUCUGUGUCACACACCUGGUGUCACCCCCAGAUGACAUCUGUGUCACACACCUGGUGUCACCCCCAGGAUGACAUCUGUCACACACCUGGUGUCACCCUCAGGAUGACAUCUGUCACACACCUGGUGUCACCCCCCCAGAUGACAUCUGUGUCACACACCUGGUGUCACUCCCCAUCACAUCUGUGUCACACACCUGGUGUCACUCCCCAUCACAUCUGUGUCACAUACCUGGUGUCACCCCCAGGAUGACAUCUGUGUCACACACCUGGUGUCACCCCCCAGAUGACAUCUGUGUCACACACCUGGUGUCACCCCAUGACAUCUGUGUCACACACCUGGUGUCACCCCCCCAGAUGACAUCUGUGUCACACACCUGGUGUCACCCCCUGAUGACAUCUGUGUCACACACCUGGUGUCACCCCCAGAUGACAUCUGUGUCACACACCUGGUGUCACCCCCCGAUGACAUCCGUGUCACACACCUGGUGUUCAUACCUUUUCUUUCUGAUUUGAGCAUGGUAGUCCAUAGUGUGACUAUUCCAUGGUUUCCUGGUGACACUCUCCCCCCCUUGAAGGGCAAGCACGCCACACAAUCACUGAGCCACACACCUGUGGGGCAUACAUGGGCACAAAGAGGGCGGGGAAAGAAUUUAGACAAAUAGAGCUUGAGCUUUAAGCUGUUUCCGAACAGAGUAGAUCCAAAGGAUGCUGUGGAGAGGAAGUUAGCUUAAGCUGUUUGUGCAGAGAAUAGAUAAAGGAUGGCUGAGAGGAAGAGUUAGCUUGGGUUGUUUGUGUGGAGAUUAGAGACGAAUGGUGAGGAAGAAAGUUAGCUCAAGUUGUUUAUGCUAAAAACAGGAGAUGAUGUCAGGACAUAAACAACCUGUAAAUAGGGUGACCUUUAAAAUGAUUGGUCGGUUUCUUCACCCCUCCUGGGGUUCUGAGGUUUUCUGGUAUAAAAGAGGCUUACUGCCCAUCAAUAAAGGAGUUCUUGCUUCACUUGACUCCCCCCAGGGUCUGAUUGUCUCUGGGUAAGGCAGGCUGGGGAAUGGGAGAGAGGGUGCACACUUGCCUCUCCUCGGUUCCAGGCCACCUCUUCACAGGUGACCUAAGUUCCCCGUGUGGCAGGUGCCCCCCCCCCCACACCCAGAAGCACUCACUGUCUUUCUGGGUGGCGAUAACCCAGCUUGGGUUGCUACCAGUUUUCACUGAAGGGCAACAGCCAUCUGUGGGAUGCUUGCCUGAACAGAGAAGAGGGUGGAGGUUGUGGGGUA